CAAAGAUGCAGAUUUGGAUUUUCUAUUUCAUAGUUAUUGAAAUCAUAAUGAGAAUGAAGUACUGCCACUAAGGUAACUUGCAAGGAGCUGUUCUCAAAACAUUGGGUGACAAAGAAUUAUUUUACAAAAAUCGAGCAGGAUAUUAAAGACAGCGAACUAUAGAACAAAUAUGGUGAAGCUACAUGAAGUCUAUGUGGAAUUUUAUUAUUGAAAAAAAUAUGCUCUUCAGAUUUAAUGUUAGUUUUUAUUGUUUAACAGUAAUUGCAGUUUUCGAAUACCUGUAAAAUAAACCUAAUUCUUAAAUUAA